AUUCCAUGAUGAGGGCACUUUCGUAAUAACUCUUUACCUUUCCCAUGCCUCAUACAGGGACUCAUCAUCCAUUUGUUGGAAGGUAGUGAUCUCAUUUCUCAACUU
rnacentral:snoRNA from 1 species